rnacentral:tRNA from 1 species
GCUGGUGUGGCAUAGUGGUUUGAGCACUGGACUAUGACUCUGGAGACCAGGGUUCAAAUCCAGGCUCGGCCA